rnacentral:lncRNA from 1 species
GGUCUCUUUGCCUCUGCAAUCAAGCUCUCCCAAUAAACGUGUGCAGAAGGAUCCUGUUGCAGCAUCGUUCUUGCUGGCGAGUCAGGGCACGCGCAAGAAGUGGUGCCGAAACCUGGGAAAAGAAACAUCUUCAGGCAUGAGCAAAGACCCCCUGCUACAGGGAGGAUUCAGAACUGCAUCACGGGGAAGGAGCGGUUAAUAAAGUGUUCCUGUAAAACAGACUGCUGAGAAGGAUCCAGCGUGGAUUCGGAACUCUUCAGGUGGGGAACGGUGGUAAUGAAGUGUUCCAGCAAAACAGACUGCUGAGAAGGAUCCAACUGCGUGGAUUCAGAACUCUUCAGCUGAAGACCUGCGGUACUGGUAAGUCUCCCAAAUUGAUCCCCAGGUUAAAGGGGGAUAUGUUUU